GACGAACGCUGGCGGCGUGCUUAACACAUGCAAGUCGAACGAAGUGGCGAACGGGUGAGUAACGCGUAAUCAACCUGCCCUUCAGAGGGGGACACCCGUUGGAAACGACUGCUAAUACAGCAUACUGAAGGAGGGGAUUGAGUAUGAUUAGCUAGUUGGAGGGGUAACGGCCCACCAGGGCGAUGCUCAGUAGCCUGUCUGAGAGGAGGAACGGCCACAUUGGGACUGAGUCACGGCCCAGACUCCUACGGGAGGCAGCAUGGGGGAAUCUUCCGCAAUGGACGAAAGGCUUACGGAGCAACGCCGCGGGAGGGAUGACGGCCUUCGGGUUGUAAAGCUCUGUUAAUCGGGACGCAGUACCGGAAUAGAAAGCCACGGCUAACUACGUGCCAGCAGCCGCGGUAAUUC
rnacentral:rRNA from 1 species